ACUCAAAGGAAUAGACGGGGGCCCGCACAAGCGGAGGAACAUGUGGUUUAAUUCGAUGAUACGCGAGGAACCUUACCUGGGCUUAAAUGUAUAGUGCAUUUCCGAGAAAUCGGGAUUUCCUACGGGACUCUAUGCAAGGUGCUGCAUGGUUGUCGUCAGCUCGUGCCGUGAGGUGUCGGGUUAAGUCCCAUAACGAGCGCAACCCUUAUCGUUAGUUGCCAGCGGGUAAAGCCGGGAACUCUAACGAAACUGCCGGUGUAAACCGCGAGGAAGGUGGGGAUGACGUCAAAUCAGCACGGCCCUUAUGUCCAGGGCUACACACGUGUUACAAUGGUCGGUACAGAGGGCAGCUACCUGGAGACAGGAUGCGAAUCUCGAAAGCCGGUCUCAGUUCGGAUCGGAGUCUGCAACUCGACUCCGUGAAGCUGGAUUCGCUAGUAAUCGCGCAUCAGCCAUGGCGCGGUGAAUACGUUCCCGGGCCUUGUACACACCGCCCGU
rnacentral:rRNA from 1 species